rnacentral:lncRNA from 1 species
AUAAAACUGACGUGGGCUUUGGUUCUUCUUGCCUCUUCCCUUCGGGGUGUUGCCAUUAAAUGCCUCGGAAUUGCAUGCAGAGAACCCCUCUCACCUCUUCAUCUCCGGUUCGUGCAUAGACUGCGUGUGUGAGCGGCUGUUCGCGACCACCUGCGAAGGUGAGAUUGUGUGCAUGAGUAGGUUCUAGGAGAAUACUGCCAAAGCGUCUCCUCGAGGGACACUGUGGAAUAUACGUGGCAUCGAUUCACCAAAGCAUUCCUUCCAUAGGGAAGACAUUCUCAACUGUAGGGAGUGUUCUCUCUUGAUCAUGAGGAUCUGACUUAGUAAAAAGCACUAAUCCCAUGUCCCAUUUUUUCAUCUACCGUAGAAGCCGAACUAAGGAGUUUGGGUGUAUGAAUACACAUUACAAGAACCGUGCAAAUGACCCUCUCAGAACAGACUUUCGUGAUUGCUUGUUGUCGGCGUUUUCGAUAUCUCUUUGCCUUCUGAUGAACUCUGGCUGCAGCAGCAAUCCUUCGGCAGCUUUUUCAAAGUGAACUGGAUGGCUUGGUUUUGGUCUGAGAUCAGAGAGAGCGACUGGCAGGAGAAGAGUUGGCCAGGACCGGCAGGACAGGCAAGGGGCUGCUCCGUUUUGCCCCCAGCUCUCAGAAAAAGCCAAGCCAGAGAGAGAAAAGCACACCAAACCCACCUGCUUUAUCUGCUGUGAAGAGGGGACCAACACCAGAGAUUCACCAGUGUUAUAGAUGAAUUAUUAAGAGUUGGCUUUCACUGUAUGUUGUAUGGAUUAUGGGUUAUAGUAUGAGUUAUAAUAUUACAUGUUAAGAAUUGUUUAAUGGUUGCUGGGGUGGUCUGGUUGUGGGGUUAGUUUUUAUAUGAUCUGUAUGCUGUAACAUCAGUUCUGUGGGGUUUGUAAAGGGCCGGGCUGUUGCCAGCCAGACUUCGAAGACACCACCAUAAAAGGAAUAGAACGAAUCAAUGAGGACCCUGAGGGCCACAGCACCAGAAAAGCGCAGGCUCCCAAAAGAUUGACAAGCGGGCAAGACUAUGCAAAACCAUG